UUUAAGAGCAUGCUAAUUGUGAAGUAUAUUCUUCCUUUCAAAGACCAACCAGAGCUCCUCAAAAGACCACCAAUUAAAUAUACUUUUAUUCGGGAUGAAGAAUGGACAAUGUUUUUCAAAGAUAGAUUGUCUGAGAACUUUAAGGACUAUCGAGAAGUUCAAAAAGAAAGAAGAAAAAAACACAUUUAUAAUCACCAUCUAAGUAGGAAAGGAUAUGCUGGUCUUGAGGAAGAGAUGAUGGUUGCAAGUGGGUUAACUGAAACUAUUGAUCGAAGCAUAUUGUGGAAGAAAGCAAGG